GGCAUCCACAACUUCUCUGGGCAACCUGUUCCAGUGCUUCACACUUUCUUGUAGGCAGUGCUGCUUGCAGGAUGAGGGUGCACAGGCCCUGGGGCAGAGGAAAGCACAGAUCAAUUAACUGACAAGACGGACAGUUUUGCUUUUAUUCUUUAAAACAGAGCAAGGAAGAAAAGCCACAAAGAAGAAAGAACGAGAGACUUGAGAAAGAGGCAAAAUCCGUAGUUGCAAACCAAAUUAAUUUUUGGGCACCUCAGUGUUUGAGUGCUCUUUUUUCAAUCUUUUCAAAAAUGAAUAGUUUCCAGAGAGCACCUGUCCUCCCAGAGUGAUGGUUACCUGAUGUGUCAGCGCCAGCUGAGCAUCUGUCAUCAUUUCUUAUUUUGGGAAAUGUAGGCCCCAUGUGUUUACACUUCUUCAGAUCUCUUUCAAGGAGCUGGCAAAAGGUUUGCAUUUGCAUUGGUCUUACUUGCCUGAAUAGUAUUUCCAUUCUUAUGAUCACCUUUUUUCUCAGUGAGAGGUUGAAUUUCUGGUGUUGUAAUACUCAUUCACAUAAAAAUAGGAGCUCAAUACAUUUUAAAAGGAAGAGACACCUAAUCAUUUAUGAAGGUACAAUAUUCUGAGUAAAAAAACCACCAAAGGCCACACACGGAUUUCUCCCCUCCUCCUCUCUCCUACUUUUCUUGUUUGUUUGUUUUCUGGUGCCUGUACAGCUGGGUUUUUGAUAUUAAGAAGUAGCUAAACUUCAUGGAUGAAAGACACUGAAAGAUAACAACAAUUAAUGUUCAAACAGCCCUACUGUUUCUAAACACAUUUUUUCCUGUGAAAAUUUACAGUGUGCCCAUGAUACAAAAUGGUGCUGGUUUGCAUGACUUGGCAAAUUUAUAAUACAUC